rnacentral:rRNA from 1 species
ACUAGUGAUUCACGGGGCCACGGGGCGCAGCAGGCGCGAAAACUCCGCAAUACACGAAAGUGUGACGGGGCCAUCCCGAGUGCCAUCCGCUGAGGAUAGCUUUUUUCCAGUGUAUAAAGCUGGAAGAAUAAGGAGAGGGCAAGUCUGGUGUCAGCCGCCGCGGUAAUACCAGCUCUCCGAGUGGUGGGGAUGUUUAUUGGGCCUAAAGCAUUCGUAGCCUGCUGGGCAAGUCCUCCGUUAAAUCCAACGAUUCAAUCGUUGGGCUGCGGGGGAUACUGUCUAGCUAGGGGGCGGAAGAGGCCGACGGUAUCCUCGGGGUAGGGGUGAAAUCCUAUAAUCCCGGGAGGACCACCAGUGGCGAAGGCUGUCGGCUAGAACGCGCUCGACGGUGAGGGAUGAAAGCUGGGGGAGCGAACCGGAUUAGAUACCCGGGUAGUCCCAGCUGUAAACGAUGCAGGCUAGGUGUUGGCGCGGCUACGUGCCGCUCCAGUGCCGCAGGGAAGCCGUUAAGCCUGCCGCCUGGGAAGUACGGCCGCAAGGCUGAAACUUAAAGGAAUUGGCGGGGGAGCACCACAAGGGGUGAAGCUUGCGGUUUAAUUGGAGUCAACGCCGGAAAUCUCACCGGGGGCGACAGCAGAAUGAAGGUCAGAUUGAAGGUCUUACCAGACAAGCUGAGAGGAGGUGCAUGGCCGUCGCCAGUUCGUGCCGUGAGGUGUCCUGUUAAGUCAGGCAACGAUCGAGACCCGCAUCCCCUGUUGCCACCGGCCACGCGCCGAGCACACUGGGGAGACUGCCGCCGAGAAGACGGAGGAAGGAGCGGGCCACGGCAGGUCAGUAUGCCCCGAAUCCCCCGGGCUACACGCGAGCUGCAAUGACAGGUACAGAGGGUCCCAACCCCGAAAGGGGGAGGAAAUCCCGAAAGCCUGCCGUAGUUGGGAUCGAAGGUUGCAACUCACCUUCGUGAACAUGGAAUCCCUAGUAAUCGCGUGUCACUAUCGCGCGGUGAAUACGUCCCUGCUCCUUGCACGAAUUCGCCGAAUCCCGCG